rnacentral:rRNA from 1 species
GAGUUUGAUCCUGGCUCAGAGCGAACGCUGGCGGCAGGCCUAACACAUGCAAGUCGAACGAUCCUUCGGGAUAGUGGCGGACGGGUGAGUAACACGUGGGAACGUGCCCUUUGGUACGGAACAACUCAGGGAAACUUGAGCUAAUACCGUAUGUGCCCUUCGGGGGAAGAUUUAUCGCCAUUGGAGCGGCCCGCGUCUGAUUAGCUAGUUGGUGAGGUAACGGCUCACCAAGGCGACGAUCAGUAGCUGGUCUGAGAGGAUGAUCAGCCACACUGGGACUGAGACACGGCCCAGACUCCUACGGGAGGCAGCAGUGGGGAAUCUUGCGCAAUGGGCGAAAGCCUGACGCAGCCAUGCCGCGUGAAUGAUGAAGGUCUUAGGAUUGUAAAAUUCUUUCACCGGGGACGAUAAUGACGGUACCCGGAGAAGAAGCCCCGGCUAACUUCGUGCCAGCAGCCGCCGUAAC